UCCCUGGUGACUUAGAUGGUAAAGAAUCUGUCUGCAAUGCAGGAGACCCAGGUUCAAUCCCUGGGUUGGGAA
rnacentral:tRNA from 1 species